AGGCAAUGAUGAGUGAAGUAUAGUCUGACCUGGUAUUGCUAAGGUCUUUCCUUUGGCUCUGACCAGGAGAUGAUCAUGUAAUCUUCUCUCUGAGCUG